CACAUGCAAGUCGAGCGGAGACAGUGAGUAGCUUGCUAUGAGCUGUUUUAGCGGCGGACGGGUGAGUAACGCGUGAGCAACCUUUCCCAGACAGGGGAAUAACACACCGAAAGGUGUACUAAUACCGCAUAAGACCACGGAAUCACAUGGUUCUGAGGUAAAAGAUUUAUCGGUUUGGGGUGGGCUCGCGUCCGAUUAGGUAGUUGGUGAGGUAACGGCCCACCAAGCCGACGAUCGGUAGCCGACCUGAGAGGGUGAUCGGCCACAUUGGGACUGAGACACGGCCCAAACUCCUACGGGAGGCAGCAGUGGGGAAUAUUGGGCAAUGGAGGAAACUCUGACCCAGCAACGCCGCGUGGAGGAAGAAGGUUUUCGGAUCGUAAACUCCUGUCCUUGGAGACGAGUAGAAGACGGUAUCCAAGGAGGAAGCCCCGGCUAACUACGUGCCAGCAGCCGCGGUAAUACGUAGGGGGCAAGCGUUGUCCGGAAUAAUUGGGCGUAAAGGGCGCGUAGGCGGCUCGGUAAGUCUGGAGUGAAAGUCCUGCUUUUAAGGUGGGAAUUGCUUUGGAUACUGUCGGGCUUGAGUGCAGGAGAGGUUAGUGGAAUUCCCAGUGUAGCGGUGAAAUGCGUAGAGAUUGGGAGGAACACCAGUGGCGAAGGCGACUAACUGGACUGUAACUGACGCUGAGGCGCGAAAGUGUGGGGAGCAAACAGGAUUAGAUACCCUGGUAGUCCACACUGUAAACGAUGAAUGCUAGGUGUAGGGGGUAUCGACCCCUUCUGUGCCGCAGUCAACACAAUAAGCAUUCCGCCUGGGGAGUACGGCCGCAAGGUUGAAACUCAAAGGAAUUGACGGGGGCCCGCACAAGCAGCGGAGCAUGUGGUUUAAUUCGACGCAACGCGAAGAACCUUACC
rnacentral:rRNA from 1 species